rnacentral:tRNA from 1 species
AGUUAAAAACUUAUAGAAAGUAGUAUGUUUUGAAAGCAUAAAAAAGGAGUUUAAUUCUCCUAUUAACUU